AGUGAACGCUGGCGGUAGGCCUAACACAUGCCAGUCGAACGGCAGCACAGUAAGAGCUUGCUCUUACGGGUGGCGAGUGGCGGACGGGUGAGGAAUACAUCGGAAUCUACUUUUUCGUGGGGGAUAACGUAGGGAAACUUACGCUAAUACCGCAUACGACCUACGGGUGAAAGCAGGGGAUCUUCGGACCUUGCGCGAUUGAAUGAGCCGAUGUCGGAUUAGCUAGUUGGCGGGGUAAAGGCCCACCAAGGCGACGAUCCGUAGCUGGUCUGAGAGGAUGGACAGCCACACUGGAACUGAGAGACGACACAGGCUCCGACGGGAGGCAGCGGUGGGUAAUAGAGGAAAAAGGGCGCAAGACUGAACCAGCGACGGCGCGUGGGUGAAGAAGGCCUGCGGGUUGUAAAGCCCUUUUGUGGGGAAAGAAAAGCAGCAGGUGAAUACCCCGCUGUGCGGACGGUACCCAAAGAAUAAGCACCGGCAAACUUCGU
rnacentral:rRNA from 1 species